CGCUAGCUACAGGCUUAACACAUGCAAGUCGAGGGGCAGCAUGGUCUUAGCUUGCUAAGGCCGAUGGCGACCGGCGCACGGGUGAGUAACACGUAUCCAACCUGCCGUCUACUCUUGGACAGCCUUCUGAAAGGAAGAUUAAUACAAGAUGGCAUCAUGAGUCCACAUGUUCACAUGAUUAAAGGUAUUCCGGUAGACGAUGGGGAUGCGUUCCAUUAGAUAGUAGGCGGGGUAACGGCCCACCUAGUCUUCGAUGGAUAGGGGUUCUGAGAGGAAGGUCCCCCACAUUGGAACUGAGACACGGUCCGAACUCCUACGGGAGGCAGCAGUGAGGAAUAUUGGUCAAUGGGCGAGAGCCUGAACCAGCCAAGUAGCGUGAAGGAUGACUGCCCUAUGGGUUGUAAACUUCUUUUAUAAAGGAAUAAAGUCGGGUAUGGAUACCCGUUUGCAUGUACUUUAUGAAUAAGGAUCGGCUAACUCCGUGCCAGCAGCCGCGGUAAUACGGAGGAUCCGAGCGUUAUCCGGAUUUAUUGGGUUUAAAGGGAGCGUAGAUGGAUGUUUAAGUCAGUUGUGAAAGUUUGCGGCUCAACCGUAAAAUUGCAGUUGAUACUGGAUAUCUUGAGUGCAGUUGAGGCAGGCGGAAUUCGUGGUGUAGCGGUGAAAUGCUUAGAUAUCACGAAGAACUCCGAUUGCGAAGGCAGCCUGCUAAGCUGCAACUGACAUUGAGGCUCGAAAGUGUGGGUAUCAAACAGGAUUAGAUACCCUGGUAGUCCACACGGUAAACGAUGAAUACUCGCUGUUUGCGAUAUACGGCAAGCGGCCAAGCGAAAGCGUUAAGUAUUCCACCUGGGGAGUACGCCGGCAACGGUGAAACUCAAAGGAAUUGACGGGGGCCCGCACAAGCGGAGGAACAUGUGGUUUAAUUCGAUGAUACGCGAGGAACCUUACCCGGGCUUAAAUUGCAGAUGAAUUACGGUGAAAGCCGUAAGCCGCAAGGCAUCUGUGAAGGUGCUGCAUGGUUGUCGUCAGCUCGUGCCGUGAGGUGUCGGCUUAAGUGCCAUAACGAGCGCAACCCUUGUUGUCAGUUACUAACAGGUCAUGCUGAGGACUCUGACAAGACUGCCAUCGUAAGAUGUGAGGAAGGUGGGGAUGACGUCAAAUCAGCACGGCCCUUACGUCCGGGGCUACACACGUGUUACAAUGGGGGGUACAGAGGGCCGCUACCACGCGAGUGGAUGCCAAUCCCAAAAACCUCUCUCAGUUCGGACUGGAGUCUGCAACCCGACUCCACGAAGUUGGGUUCGCUAGUAAUCGCGCAUCAGCCACGGCGCGGUGAAUACGUUCCCGGGCCUUGUACACACCGCCCGUCAAGCCAUGGGAGCCGGGGGUACCUGAAGUGCGUAACCGCGAGGAGCGCCCUAGGGUAAAACUGGUGACUG
rnacentral:rRNA from 1 species